GACGGAGGAUGCAAGCGUUAUCCGGAAUGAUUGGGCGUAAAGCGUCCGCAGGUGGCAGUUCAAGUCUGCUGUCAAAGACCGGGGCUUAACUUCGGAAAGGCGGUGGAAACUGAACAGCUAGAGUAUGGUAGGGGCAGAGGGAAUUCCUGGUGUAGCGGUGAAAUGCGUAGAGAUCAGGAAGAACAUCGGUGGCGAAGGCGCUCUGCUGGACCAUAACUGACACUCAGGGACGAAAGCUAGGGGAGCGAAUGGG
rnacentral:rRNA from 1 species